rnacentral:rRNA from 1 species
AUUGAACGCUGGCGGCAGGCCUAACACAUGCAAGUCGACGAUAGCGGCGGACGGGUGAGUAACACGUGGGUAACCUGCCCAUCAGAAGGGGAUAACACUUGGAAACAGGUGCUAAUACCGUAUACUGAUGGAUGGACCCGCGGUGCAUUAGCUAGUUGGUGAGGUAACGGCUCACCAAGGCCACGAUGCAUAGCCGACCUGAGAGGGUGAUCGGCCAAACUGGAACGGAGACACGGGCCAGACUCCUACGGGAGGCAGCAGUGGGGAAUAUUGGACAAUGGGCGAAAGCCUGAUCCAGCCAUGCCGCGUGUGUGAAGAAGGUCUUCGGAUUGUAAAGCACUUUAAGUUGGGAGGCGUUACCAACAGAAUAAGCACCGGCUAACUUCGUGCCAGCCGCCGCGGUAAUUC